rnacentral:misc_RNA from 1 species
AUGGACUCUGCUGUCGCUGGCUCUCUCUGGGAGCAUGUGCACGCAAAGUUUCAAACCUUUCAUUCUUUAACCUCCUGUGCACUUUUGUGGAUCGCGGAUUGGAUAUCUUCAAAGUAACAUUUGGUCUUGGAAAUUGCGCAUAUAUCUGUGCUCUUUCCUACUUCUGUCCGCGGUUCAUGUCUUUUUUUAUUAAACUAUUUACAAUCUUGAAUGUAUCAAUGGAGUUUGGGACUUUAUUGUACCUCUCCUUAAAACUUAUACAACUUUCAACAACGGAUCUCUUGGCUCUCGCAUCGAUGAAGAACGCAGCGAAAUGCGAUAAGUAAUGUGAAUUGCAGAUUUCAGUGAAUCAUCGAAUCUUUGAACGCACCUUGCGCCCUGUGGUAUUCCGCAGGGCAUGCCCGUUUGAGUAUCAUUAAAUCUUCAACCUCAAAGACUUUGUGUUUUCGAGGCUUGGUCUUGAGGGUUCUGCAGGCUUUUUUUCUAAAGUCAGCUCCCUUUAAAUUCAUUAGCGAGACUUCCCUUUGUUUAAGCCGGUCUCAUUGGCAUGAUAGUUAUCUGUGUCAACGUCGGUUCUCGUUGGGCUUGCUUCUAAUCGUCUUCGGACAACAGGAUUUUUGGUGCAUAUAUGCGCACGAUUUCCAAGCCUUUUUGAUCUCAAAUCGGGU